UCAUCCCAUCUCCAAAUACAUUUAACUUUUAUUAUUCUAAAUCUACAAAAAAAAAAAAGAAAAUGAAUUCUAAGGCUUUCAUCCUCCUCGGUCUCCUUUUCGCCGCUGUCGUCCUGGAGGUAACUGCAGUUACGGCCGGGGACGACAUAAAAUCUAAGGAAGCUUUUAAGCAAACCGAUGAAGUCAACGAUGUCAAGCACCACGAUUUGGGAGGAGAAGACACUUCACUUGCCCGAUGCCACCACCAUUGCCACAAACGUUGCUGUAAGUGUUCCCACGGUCAUUGCGUCAAGUGCUGCCCCUAAUCUGCUGAUGAUCUGACCCUGGUUGGAUUUACAAUCUCAAGCCAAAAGUUUAACAACAAAACCUAUUUUGUUGCUUAAUUUCAAAUAAUGUCUUUUGAUUUCUCAAGUUCAUAUAUUAUAUAUAAUGUAUGCAGUCCUGUGUGUGUUUGCUUUUAAGUACUGAAUAAAUGCUUUGUAAAAGAAAAAAAAAAAAAAAAGAAGUAAUGAAUAAAUGGAAUGGCUUGAGAUUUUAACA